rnacentral:rRNA from 1 species
CCUACGGGAGGCAGCAGUGGGGAAUAUUGCUCAAUGGGGGAAACCCUGAAGCAGCAACGCCGCGUGGAGGAUGAAGGUCUUCGGAUUGUAAACUCCUUUUGUUAGAGAAGAUAAUGACGGUAUCUAACGAAUAAGCAACGGCUAUUACCGAGCCAGCAGCCGCGGUAAUACGGCGGGUGCAAGCGUUACUCGGAAGCACUGGGCGUAAAGGGGGCGUAGGCGGGUUAGCAAGUCAGAUGUGAAAUCCUAGGGCUUAACCAUAGAACUGCAUUUGAAACUGUUAUUCUAGAGUAUGGGAGAGGUAGGUGGAAUUCUUGGUGUAGCGGUGAAAUGCGUAGAGAUCAAGAGGAAUACUCAUUGCGAAGGCGACCUGCUAGAACAUAACUGACGCUGAUGCGCGAAAGCGUGGGGAGCAAACAGGAUUAGAUACCCGAGUAGUC